GUAGGUGAACCUGCGGAAGGAUCAUUAAAGGGUGGGCGGGGCGUGCGCGAGUGCGUGUGCGAAAGCGCAUGCACGGACGCGUGUCCCUGCCCUUACCAUUCAUAUUCACUUGACACCUGUGUUCCGGUCUCGUGCUCGUACCGCUUUGGGCGGUGUCGGGGACGGUGUGCGUGAUGCGUAUGUGUGUGUGUGUGUGUGCGGUGCUGGCGGGUGCUCUUUUGUACACGCCUACACUGCGCCACGCGCGCUCGCUCCUCUCACGUAUGCCGCGUCGACGGGUUGCGCGCGCUCGUCGCGUGUGACAGCCGCCCAAGCGUGUUCUUUUAAACAUCAUUGUCGUGGUCCCGUACCAGUCUGAUAUAACGCAUGCUUCGCGGCGUGCAGUGUAACACAAACACAACUGUUAGCAAUGGAUCACUCGGUUCUC
rnacentral:misc_RNA from 1 species